GAUGAACGCUGGCGGCGUGCCUAAUACAUGCAAGUCGAGCGAACAGAUGAGGAGCUUGCUCCUCUGACGUUAGCGGCGGGCGGGUGAGUAACACGUGGAUAACCUACCUAUAAGACUGGGAUAACUUCGGGAAACCGGAGCUAAUACCGGAUAAUAUAUUGAACCGCAUGGUUCAAUAGUGAAAGACGGUUUUGCUGUCACUUAUAGAUGGAUCCGCGCCGCAUUAGCUAGUUGGUAAGGUAAUGGCUUACCAAGGCAACGAUGCGUAGCCGACCUGAGAGGGUGAUCGGCCACACUGGAACUGAGACACGGUCCAGACUCCUACGGGAGGCAGCAGUAGGGAAUCUUCCGCAAAGGGCGAAAGCCUGACGGAGCAACGCCGCGUGAGUGAUGAAGGUCUUCGGAUCGUAAAACUCUGUUAUUAGGGAAGAACAAAUGUGUAAGUAACUAUGCACGUCUUGACGGUACCUAAUCAGAAAGCCACGGCUAACUACGUG
rnacentral:rRNA from 1 species